rnacentral:rRNA from 1 species
GGAUAACCUACCCUUAGGACCGGGAUAACCUUGGGAAACUGAGGAUAAUACUGGAUAGGCAAUUAUUCCUGUAAUGGUUUUUUGUUUAAAUGUUUUUUCGCCUAAGGAUGGGUCUGCGGCCGAUUAGGUAGUUGGUUAGGUAAUGGCUUACCAAGCCUUUGAUCGGUACGGGUUGUGAGAGCAAGAGCCCGGAGAUGGAACCUGAGACAAGGUUCCAGGCCCUACGGGGUGCAGCAGGCGCGAAACCUCCGCAAUGUGAGAAAUCGCGACGGGGGGAUCCCAAGUGCCAUUCUUAACGGGAUGGCUUUUCUUUAGUGUAAAAAGCUUUUGGAAUAAGAGCUGGGCAAGACCGGUGCCAGCCGCCGCGGUAACACCGGCAGCUCUAGUGGUAGCAAUUUUUAUUGGGCCUAAAGCGUCCGUAGCCGGUUUAAUAAGUCUCUGGUGAAAUCCUGUAGCUUAACUGUGGGAAUUGCUGGAGAUACUAUUAGACUUGAGACCGGGAGAGGUUAGAGGUACUCCCAGGGUAGAGGUGAAAUUCUGUAAUCCUGGGAGGACCGCCUGUUGCGAAGGCGUCUAACUGGAACGGUUCUGACGGUGAGGGACGAAAGUUAGGGGCGCGAACCGGAUUAGAUACCCGGGUAGUCCUAACUGUAAACGAUGCGGACUUGGUGUUGGGGUGGCUUUGAGCUGCUUCAGUGCCGAAGGGAAGCUGUUAAGUCCGCCGCCUGGGAAGUACGGUCGCAAGACUGAAACUUAA